rnacentral:rRNA from 1 species
UACGUAGGGUGCGAGCGUUAAUCGGAAUUACUGGGCGUAAAGCGCGCGUAGGCGGGUUGGUAAGUCCGCUGUGAAAGCCCGGAGCUUAACUCCGGAGGGUCGGUGGAUACUGCCAGUCUUGAAGGUGCUAGGGGGAGAUGGAAUUACCGGUGUAGCGGUGAAAUGCGUAGAUAUCGGUAGGAACACCAGUGGCGAAGGCGGUCUCCUGGGGCAUUCUUGACGCUGAGGCGCGGAAAGCUGGGGGAGCAAACGGG